rnacentral:rRNA from 1 species
UACGUAGGGGGCAAGCGUUGUCCGGAUUUAUUGGGCGUAAAGAGCGUGUAGGCGGUCAGGUAGGUCCGUUGUGAAAACUCGAGGCUCAACCUCGAGACGCCGAUGGAAACCAUCUGACUAGAGUCCGGAAGAGGAGAGUGGAAUUCCUGGUGUAGCGGUGAAAUGCGCAGAUAUCAGGAAGAACACCCGUGGCUAAGGCGGCUCUCUAGUACGUUACUGACGCUGAGACGCGAAAGCGUGGGGAGCAAACAGG